rnacentral:rRNA from 1 species
AGUGAACGCUGGCGGUAGGCCUAACACAUGCAAGUCGAACGGCAGCACAGUAAGAGCUUGCUCUUACGGGUGGCGAGUGGCGGACGGGUGAGGAAUACAUCGGAAUCUACUUUUUCGUGGGGGAUAACGUAGGGAAACUUACGCUAAUACCGCAUACGACCUACGGGUGAAAGCAGGGGAUCUUCGGACCUUGCGCGAUUGAAUGAGCCGAUGUCGGAUUAGCUAGUUGGCGGGGUAAAGGCCCACCAAGGCGACGAUCCGUAGCUGGUCUGAGAGGAUGAUCAGCCACACUGGAACUGAGACACGGUCCAGACUCCUACGGGAGGCAGCAGUGGGGAAUAUUGGACAAUGGGCGCAAGCCUGAUCCGGCCAUACCGCGUGGGUGAAGAAGGCCUUCGGGUUGUAAAGCCCUUUUGUUGGGAAAGAAAAGCAGCAGGUUAAUACCCCGCUGUUCUGACGGUACCCAAAGAAUAGGCACCGGCUAACUUCGUG